rnacentral:lncRNA from 1 species
AAGUAGGAGAGCAUACAUUGGGAGGCUCAACCGCCAUUUCCCUCUUGGCUCUCUAAGAGGGUGGGCAGAUCUGGAUUCUAAGCCAUUUCACAGCAAACACGCGUCUCUAACCACCAGCAUUGGCUUAAUUGGAGCUGCUUACAAACCAGGUCCUCUCCUGCCUGCUACUUCCUAAAAAAGAAGCAAAACCACCGAGGAUUUUGCUGUAGGAUCUGAGGAAACCCCAGGCUUUGUCACUUGAGAAUGGGGUUCUCCAAAGAAACCCACGUAAAUCACUACAGACCGUUACCAUGAGGACAGCAUACCCUCACAGGCAGCCAAAGGCAAGACUGAGGAUGGGUCAUGUGACCAGACGGCGACCAGUGGUCCCUGGCAGUUUGAGAGAGAGAAUCCAAAAGAUGGAGAGUGGAAGCAUCAAAAGAUAAAACACGCAAGAGACACAGGAGAAGAGUUCUGGGGACCACAGGAGAAAGGGCAGAAAGGACAUCUGGCGAGCACGUGAAGGAAAGACAUUGCGCUAACACAUGGAGGAGAAGACAGCGGGAGGGGGCGGGGGGAGGAAGCACGCGGAGGAGAGGACAUGGGGCAAGCGCGUGGAGGAGAGGACAUGGGGCAAGCAGGUGGAGAAGAGGUCAUUGGGUGAGCAUGUUGAAAGAACAUCUGGCGAGCGCUUGAAAGCAAGAAAGACAAGCGUAGGACAGAAGGAGCGAGCAUGAGCGAGCAGUGCGCCAAGAAAAUGAGAAGGAUGGAGAGCUGUUCCUAGCAAAACCAGGGGAAGGGGGGACCUAAUAAGAAGCAAUUAGAAGGAAAGUGAAAAGACUUAUUCUAGGAGUUUGGUGUUAAAAAGCAAAUGAAGUGGAAAUUUUGUAAGUGUUAAACUCUACCCAAAAACAGUAUGAGGGGAAAUUUUCACACAGUAUAACUUAAAACAAGU